AAAUCAUGUGAUGAGAAAAUUAACUGCAACAAUAUGAUCGAAAUAUUUUCUAUGAUUCCUAGUAUAUGAUCGGAAUAUUUUCUAUGAUUCCUAGUAUUUAAGUCUCUGAUGAUU